GGGUCGGUGCCCGAGUGGUUAAAGGGGGCGGAUUGUAAAUCCGCUGCGAUACGCUACGUUGGUUCGAAUCCAACUCGGCCCA
rnacentral:tRNA from 1 species